GUUUCUAUAGUUGAAUUACAACGGUGGUUUUUCGUAUCACUGGUCUGGGUUAAAAUCCUUGUAGAAAUU
rnacentral:tRNA from 1 species